rnacentral:snoRNA from 1 species
GUGCUGGGGGUCAAGCUGCAGCACCAGAGAAAGUGCUCACAUACAACUGGGGCCACCUGCCCUUCACCCUAGGCCGUUUUAAGCAGGAGCAACAGGG